GAGAUAUAUGAAAUUGUAGGUGUCUAUUUUUAGUAGACUUAAUAGGGAAUCUGGUGAAAAUCCAGAACUGUCCCCGCAACUGUAAGUGUAGAUGAAAUGAGAAUAUCCACUGUAUAAGUAGCUUAAAAGGUGCUUAUAUGGGAAGGCUCAGAGUAAGAUGAUGCACAAGUCAGGAGACCUGCCUCAAAUUUCGAAAAGUU
rnacentral:ncRNA from 2 species